GCCGGGCGUGGUGGUGCGCGCCUGUAGUCCCAGCUACUCGGAGGCUGAGGCAGGAGAAUGGCGUGAACCCAGGAGGCGGAGCUUGCAGUGAGCUGAGAUGGUGCCACUGCACUCCAGCCUGGGUGACAAAGCAAGACUCCGUCUCAA
rnacentral:SRP_RNA from 1 species